UCCUCACGAGAACUGUAUUCCUGUAUGAUUAUCUUCAACAAGAAAAUUUUGAAUUUUUACAAGGUUGUGUCGAGUUCAUCGCACAAAACAAAAAAAGGCUUUGGAACACAUCAUAUCAAGAGACUGGAAAUUUUGCAGGCAGCAGCAGAUUACUAUUAUGUGGACGUGGUGCGUCAGCAGCUCAAUCCCAGACUAGAAACUAUCUGGUACACUGCAUUAGAUUGCAUGGUAAAGUAGAAGUUAUCCGAGUACAAAAUUGUGGUAAAGCUGUGAGUUUUAAUCGAUUCGUUAUGGUUUUGUAACCGGUGUGGAUCUUUUGUUUCCCAAAUAUUAAAUUGAUAUGGUAUUAUGGUCUUCCUUCGAGACAUGUCGACUAGCACUAAAAUAGUGCACUUAAAAA
rnacentral:lncRNA from 1 species